ACGUCAGAACACAGAGGUCAUGUUCUUCUUUGCUAUAGUAGUAAGCCUUCUCGUUGGCGGAUCUGAAGGUUUGUUGUGCCUGCAAUGCAACGAUGUUGCCCAGCCGAGACAUUGUACGACCGUCGUUGAAUGUCCGCAGUUUGAGGUAUGUUACACUGAGCGAUCUGUAAACGAUAUAGGAGAAGCACGCUAUGUAUUAGGCUGUUCACCAGGAAAUG